CCUCAGCAUAUGCUCUGCCUCACUUGCUUCCUCACUGUUAAAAUGACAACGGACGCCGUCUUCGGUGCUUCCAACACCCUCGGUUCCCUCUCGCGGCCCGGCCUUCCUACGCUGCUACGUUGUGCAUUACCCACAACAGCAAAAAUGUUCCACUGGUGGUUUCAAGAUUCCUAAAAAAAUAGAUUCAAAACAUCUUUAAUACUCUCUGAAGAAGCAAUACAUCACAGGAAAAGCUGUAACCUUUCCUGUUGCUGAUACUAUCCAGACUGCGGGCUGAUGAGGACGGUAACUGCAGCCAAUUCGUAUUCUGCGUGGCUGCCGCUGGAGGUGCACAGGAGCUGGUCCACCCACCCUCCACACUCCCAACCAAGGAAGCUGCUGAAUUUCUGAGUGUUUGCCUAAUGCCCUUUUAUAUAACCUGAAAAGAGUCACAGUACUUGAAGGCAGUAUUUUCCAAGAAACAGCCUUCCCCUAUUAACGCAACAUCCCUGAAAAUAAUACUGCUGUUUCUACGGCAGUGACAGGCCCUGCAUGGAACGCAUUUUUCCUUCCUUUUUUCCCCAUCACAGAGCCACGGGCAAGAAGCUGCGGCGGCAGAGCCUCGUCAAAGCCAGCUGGACAGAGGGAUGGCUACUUGCAUUGUUAAGUAGGAGCGCUUCACAGUGACCAUGGGCCAGCCUGGAACUGCCUUCCCCCAGGACGGGGGGACAGGCGUGAGUGGGUGUGAAGCACAGGGAAGCUUCUCUGCCUGGUGAUCCCAAGAGGGCCUGCAACAGGUGCCCUGCCUGGCUGAAGGAGGAGGCUGCCGGGAAAUCAGACUCGGAUUUGCCAGGUUGUUUGAAGGUUAAUGUUAUGGGUAAUCAAAGGGAGGAGACAAAAGACAGAAAAAUGGAAACCCUUCAGAACAGUGAAAGGUUUCAUUUACCUUUGGUAAAUAAAAGUGUGUUCAUAUUUUCACAAGGAUUCUUCUAUUUCACCAGCUUACAACUCAAACCGGGCUGGGCAAACACGCUGCGAUACGGCGGUCACGGCUGUAAUUCAGAGAGAAUGCUCAGAAAUGGGAAACAAAAACACAAGGCAGGAUGCCCCUUUGUGCUGGAAGUCAGAAUCUCCAUGUGUUCUUCUCGCUGCCCGCCGAGGUCUGAGCGGGGCCCUGCUGUGAAUGACCCCGGGAACGGUGCCAGAGUCACACAGACUUGGUGCAGACAACAGAGCUACCUUUCAGGGGCUCUGUGUCCUUGGACAGGUCACUAGACUUCUCUGAACCCGUUCGCUCAUUUCCAGAAAGGGAUAAGAUCUCUCUUACAGUUCAUGGGGUGCGCAAGAAUGAUGGGUGCCAAGCCCAUGACCCCAGGUUCUGGCAAGGAAUCGGCCUCUCCAAAAAUGAUGGUUUUUAUUAUUCUCACUAUUCUAGAAAAUGUCUUUGUGAAUUGUUUGCUUGAUUGAAACGGUUUCUUUUUAAUAAAAUCUUGAUUUUAAAAAGCCCGAA
rnacentral:lncRNA from 10 species